UACGUAGGGGGCUAGCGUUGUCCGGAAUCAUUGGGCGUAAAGCGCGUGUAGGCGGCCCGGUAAGUCCGCUGUGAAAGUCCAGGGCUCAACCCUGGGAUGCCGGUGGAUACUGUCGGGCUCGAGUCCGGAAGAGGCGAGUGGAAUUCCUGGUGUAGCGGUGAAAUGCGCAGAUAUUAGGAGGAACACCAAUUGCGAAGGCAGCUCGCUGGGACGUUACUGACGCUGAGACGCGAAAGCGUGGGGAGCAAACAGG
rnacentral:rRNA from 1 species